UUUAAACCAAUAAACAACAAUUGAAUUUGUGAGUGCCGGUGCUGUUGUGAAGGGUUAUUCAUGGAUACCACAAAAAGAGAUACAAAACUACAUCAAUGCUGUUGGCAUAAUACUCGCUUCUCUGCCUGAGAAAUGUUGGAAGGCAAAUGAUCCCCAUAGUGAGCCGCUGAUACCUAUGUGUCUUCAGUUGGUAAUUGCAUAGUUACUGCCGCGAGUGCGGUUCACAAUGCUCUUUGCCGCAUUCUUUUUGGCAUGGUCGUUUGUUGAACCAGCCCACAUAACAGACGCUCGUUUGGCAAGUUCUAUUUCCGUUGCUUGAUAAUGUGCGUGCGCUUUCCAGUACGGGAAGCAGUGAGAAGGUGGAUGGUGCUGCCUUGAGUAAAAAUUGUGAAGACUCGCUGGCCGCACUAAAAUCUCUGCAAGAAAUUAUGCAUGACAAUGCAGACAAAUUGGCGUCACUUGCUAACGAGGAAACAGCGGAAACAAAGAUGAGGAAUUUGCAGGAUUGCAUGGAAUAUUUGGCUAAAUACCGGCAUUGAAAGCACAAAGAUCACAACGAAAAACAACCAUGCCAAAGAGGAGUUUUAUGUGCCUAGUCAGGCAUUUUUA